rnacentral:rRNA from 1 species
GUGCCAGCCGCCGCGGUAAUACCGGCAGCCCAAGUGAUGGCCACACUUAUUGGGCCUAAAGCGUCCGUAGCUGGCCAGACAAGUCCGUUGGGAAAUCCACGCGCUCAACGCGUGGGCGUCCAGCGGAAACUGCCUGGCUUGGGGCCGGAGGACUCGAGGGGUACGUCCGGGGUAGGAGUGAAAUCCCGUAAUCCUGGACGGACCGCCGGUGGCGAAAGCGCCUCGGGAGGACGGACCCGACGGUGAGGGACGAAAGCCAGGGUCUCGAACCGGAUUAGAUACCCGAGUAGUCC